AAAGGUGGAGUCAGAAGCUCUCUUUCUCAGUUUCUCUGUUCUAUUUUCGGAGAGUGUGGAGCUCUCAAUCUCAUCUCUACCUCAUUGCCUCUCUUUCUAUUUUCACAACUCAUAUCAUCAAAUCAACCAAGCACUAGUCUCUAGAGAUUCAUAUAUGAUAGGGAUAAAAUAUUAUCAUCUAAAAAAAGAGAGAUUAGAUAUAAAUACCAAAUUUGGGUGGUGCUGCGGUGGACUAGUGGUGGCGGCGUGGUGCUGAUCUGGUCUGCUACUCUGCUUCUACUCUGGUCUGGUUUGGUUCCGCUGCCGUUUGCCCAACCCCGCCCACUCCCAGGUCCUAGUAUUUAAUUCCUCAUAUGAGGGUGUUGGCAAGGCUGACUUGGACUCUGAAGGAGGAGGUGGUGGCGAUGAUGAUGAAGAAUUCGAAGUGAAUCCAGAAGCAGGAUGUGGUGGUGGGAAAUGAUUAGUACGGCAAUCAUACGGUUCUCUAAAUUCUUGAUGGCCGGUUCCACAACUUGUAUUGGGAGACGGCGGUAAUGGUAGAAAUCUUCUUCCUAAAGCCUCCGGGAGCAAACUAAUGAGAGUAACAAAGACUAUAAAAGAAGUGGCAGUGGCAAUGAAGGACAUGGAAGCUAUACUUUCUCUUGCCAUUGGUAAUUACUUAUCCUUUCUAUAUGUAACUCUUAUCACUCCAGAAAUAUAUAGUUCGCGUGGUGUGGAAAAAUCAACCUUUUGCGUGUGGAAAUUUUGAUCAGUCUUCACAAAUAAUGCAUUUUUUUUUUUUGGGCGUGUGA